UGUUCUUUGAAGGUCAUGAGCAUGCAUUUUCAAAGGCCUGAACGUCGGGGCAGCACUUUUGUUUCAACAUCUUCGUUUGCCUUGUAAAAUUUUAGUAAUAGCCCAACUUACGUAGUAAUACUAUAGACGGUUGCACACAACGUGUUUUCCAACUAAUGCCCAUUUCACGUGCCUCGAUAUUGCACUGCGCUUUCCGCAAGUGCGAACUUCGCAUUGCUAGUCGCUGCAGCAUUGCCGUUUCACAUAUGCAUCUGCGAUUUUCGAAUUUGCGAGCACCUUUCCUUGGCGUAGGCUUAUUCAGCCAGCUUCUGUGAAAGCAAAACAAACUAGGAACUUUAGUGUAACGUUUCUUGUGGUGUAAACAAGGCAGUUCGCAAUGUUUUCUGCACAUCCCCUCAAAAUCUUUCGCAGUUCAAUUUAGCGCCGACAGUUACAAUCUGAAACAAUCCAUAGUGCUCUUUUCAGAGACAUAAUUAAAACAUUGUCGAUAUUGUGGGGCUCUAAUAAUGCCACUGUGAGCACUGUUGGGUCAAGAGUAUAGUUGUGCGAAUAGUGAUUUUUGAGACCGAAUUGAAUACGAAUCAAAUAGUGCCAAAAUAGAAUCAAAUGUUUUUCAAAUAAUGAAUAGGCAUUAUCAUAAUUAUUAUAAAACGAUGUUGACAUCCCACUACUCUUAAAGUUAGCAAGCUUCCGUCGUUACACAGUGUGUUAUGAAGCAUUGCUUAUUAAAAGCAUAAAUGACGUAUUAGAAGCAAACAAUUAGUGUCGUCGCAUGCACAGUGCGAAUGAUCGCUGUACAGCCUGUAAAGCAUGGCUGCCUAAGCGACAUAUGUUCUUUCCUACAUUGCAAGUUCUCAUGUUUUAUGUUGAUACUAUUCCUGCGGGGGGCGAAUAUUUACCGUGCUUUUGCUGAAAUUUUAUGUUUAACUGGGUGUAUUCUACAUAUUGAAGUACUCAAAAAGUAUUAGAAGAAUGUUUGCAUUUACAAAUAUUGAUUAUUCGAUUCUUUAUUAGAGUGUUUUAAAUGUUUGCACAUCCCUAGUCAAGAGUAGAUCAAGUGCAAACAAGUGAAUAUGACUUCAAGAAAAAAGUAAAAAUCCUAAUCUCAAGCUUCCUGAAAACACGUAAUGUUCCCGUUCUGGCGAGCGUCGUUGUGUUGCUCUCUGGGGGAUGACCGAUUUGAUACCGUUGUCUUAUGUAGUGUCUACCAGAGUUUUAUUCACUACUUGCGCCUGCAUGCCUCGCAACUAAAAACAUAUUUUUCAAGUCUGAACAAUAUUACAAGUAAUGUUGCAUACAUUUUUUUCUCGCCAGGAACAUGUCCAUGGCCUGCUAUCUUUGCAGCACAUUGUUGCCUGUAAUCUGAAUUAUCUACUGCUUUAAAGUUAACCUUUAUUUGCGAACCAUUCUGGACUUCCAUGACAGUAGCUGGGUGCUGCUGUCAUGCCGAUUAGCUCAUACUUAAAAAUAGAAAACUGAAUUACAUGCCUGAUGGCAGAAUAAACCGUUGGUCUAGGGUACCGAGGUUCUAUCCACAGCAACCCGACGCCUCUAACCAUUGGGCCACAACUGCAUGUGCACUUUAUUGUACCAGUGCACACUAACUCUUUGACGUGAUCGUCACAUAGGUUACAGUGUGUAGCACGGGUGUGAGAAGAUGCACAUCUGCCAGUUUCUUUACACGACAGACGGAGGAAUGAAAUGGGCAAAUUUUUAACAUUUGAAUAACCGCUUCACAAAAGCGUUGCUUCACAUAGAUUCCAAGGUGUGUGUUAGACCUGUACAAUAUUUUUAAAAAAGCCCUUUGUUAAUUUUUGCUUUUGGAAAAGUCUCUCUGCUCUGAAAAGCAUCACCAGCCCACAAGGGAAGCAUUAUUCAGACACUCGGAUGCCAGAGCUACAUGUCUAAUCAAUGUAGUAUCCAUACAUAAGUAACCUUAUUUCACAAACACAUAGAUGUGUACUCAAGAGAAUUAUAUGUGUAAUAGGACUAGACAAAGAAGUACAUAAAACAUUAUUACAUAAAUUUUAUUGUCUUGCUGUUACCUGCACGGCUUAGAAGUUGCGAAUGUGGGAUGUGAUUGCAAAAUACAUUCAGUCCUUGUGUUGCAAUCGAAAUAUCUUCCAAACAUGUCAAUUUAUGGUGACAGCCUGAAUUGCAGUCCCAUUUUCUGAAGUGCCUCCCUGUUUACAAACAAAAGGGAAGAGAUGCAGCACCUUAUUCAAAACCAUAAUUUAAAAAAUGGUCUAUAAUAAUCGAGGUCUUCAUAGGUCAAAUUAUGCUUUGUCAAUCUUAUAUGGUUUUUCUUCAAUUUAGGGUUAAGCCAAACCUGACACUCAUUUCAGGCAUCAUGUCACACUGAUUUUUCAGGUACUGUAACUACAGCUGCCAGCUUGUGACCGCUGAAGUUAGGUUCACUUUAUCUGCACAUGUGUCAGGCAUUUAACGAACACGUCUUACACUGCAGCACAAGCAAGGUUCGCAGCCUAAAUAAAAUCCGCCACGUGCAAAAAUCUGUAAUUCGUUCGAAGCUUAAUUGCAUAAGUCAAAGUAGGAAAUAAUCUUACACCAUUGUGUAUUCCGUGCAUUCAGCUAGAUUAUUUUGUCACUUUGAGGACUAACGUAAAUGGAUAUGUUUUCCAAGGCAGUCUUUUUUAACUUUACAUCUACUGGCAUAUUAACAGGAACCAUUCUUUCCAGGACACCUCUUUGACUUCCUGUUAUCGAUCCUUCUGAACAAUCGACAGUGUGCCAAAAGAAAGGCGCAUGUUCUAAAUCACUGUGGACUCGUGCAGGGCACAACCAUUUGCGACAUCGUUUCUGGCCUCCCUUCCUUAUGUCAUAGGUCAAGCCCACACUUGCUAAAGUGAAUCAUAUUUUUUGGCAACUAGAAGUUGCUCUCUUUAAAGGCACUCUAUUCUUGUAACACAAAAGGUUUCCAUGCCUUCAAAGGGGUAGAAUGUGCAGAAUAUAGUGUUGUUUGUAAUUAUUGCAACAGAGAUAGUCACCUAUAGGUAAAUACUGAAAGAACCACUGGGAGAAAUACAAUGUAUUGGCCAAGUCUAGUUUAGUCUGAAUAGCAAUUUUGCUGGUUUGGUUUUCUCGCUCAAAGUUGACGUUUAGCAUUCCAGGACUAUACCUAUUCCAUUUCAACUCCAUUCUGAAAUCAUGGGCUCCCAUUCCAUCUGUCUGACUGGUGCCGUGAUUCCAUUCCCAUUUCAUUGCGAGUGUUUAAAAUGUGGAAUGAUUCAGGAAUCAAUACAAUUCCAAACAUGCCACUCUGCAACUCUGUUUUCUAUGUGUUAUGUGUGCGGGCAAAAAUACUUGUGUGCCAUGUUUCUUGUGCACAAAUAAAAAUGCAAGUGGGUCAAAAUAUAGGGUCUUCUACUUCAGUGUCUCCUAUAGCUUCUGUGUUGCUCUGGGAUGUUGAACUCGGGCCAUUUUAUCCAUGCAAAGAUUACCAAAGAGCAGCCUUGGGUGCCUCAGCACUGUUCGCUCCCAGCACUGUUCCCUCCAGCAUGAUAUGGUGUCGAGCCACCUUGGAAGUCAUUCAAACACCAUUGGAAGGUCGAGUAGUAUCAUUGGUAGAGCUAGAAUAUCUACAGUGGUACUACUUCUUAGUUCUAGAACAUAUGGAACUUUCCUGUUGUUAGUCCUUGGUGCUGCUGAGAACACUUUUGUGCUUUCUCUCACCUGCUGGGAUCACCACAAUGCCGCAGCAUCAUGGUAGAAUUGGCACUUCUCCGUGAGCCGGCCACAUUGGAAGAUUAUAAUCAAUAAUUAGCUGUCCUGCGAGGGAGCAAUUCAGGUUGCAUAUGAGAGUUAUUGGAUUGACAACAACUGAACAGAAAAGGAGAGACAUGAAAAUUUUGGGUCAAUGCUCCUUUGAGACCAGACAAAUGUUUUAUGCAGCCUCUUUCUGUGUAGAGCAAAAAUGCUUCAAUUUUGAUGCCGAGUUUCACAUGUUACAUGAUUGAAGGCACUUUCUGUCAUCUCGAGUUUCAUCACAGGCAGCUAACCUUUGUAAAUGUUCCAGAUGUAAAUGUAAAUAUGUAAAUGUAAUGUAAAUGUGCACAUUAGGAACUGAGGUUCACUCCCAGCAGCUUAGUGGUUAGUUAUCAAUGUCAGUAAUUAAUAGAUUUUGGUACAAUACAAUUAGUUAAAUGGUAAUAAAAAGGCUAAAUUGCAUUUAAUAUUUUCAGGGGAGUAAUUAAGAUAUGUGAGUAGCGGCCAGCAUUGCAGUACAUCAUGUUACUACAUAUGACUUGCACAUUUGCUUAAUUUGAUCACUUGAGCAAAAAAAAAAAAAAAAGCUGUCUCAUUCUUUACCAUUGCCAAGUGGGUAAGAAUUUUUACCUCCAACAGUAUGUAAUUAUUGUGAUUAAAAAUUAUUAAGCCUGCAGAUAGGUGGGGUUCACAUGUCAUAGAUGACAUAAUGGUGCUUUUUCUUGUAGUUAAAAGUUUUUUAUUUUUCUGUAUCUUAUACCACUCCCCCUCUGUAAUGUCCGUUCACCCUGAGGGUAUCAUAAAUAAAUAAAUAAAUAAAUAAAAGGUGCAUUUAAAAGCAGGGUAGUAGGGUGGCAGAACUGCACUGGUUUGUAGCUUGAAGCUUGAUUAGUCUUUUUUGUUCAAUGUGGCAAACGAGCAGACAGUGUGACAAGACGUAAUACAAAUAAAAGAGCACUUGUGUUUUGUUUAUACUUCUUGUCCCAACAUUUGCCACGUUGAGCAGAACAGGUAGCCAUAGAAUGAGUAGAACCGACCGAUAGUGAUGGCAGCAUUGCCAUGGAGAGGUACGGAUAUCAUGUGGGAGCAGUGUUAUUCUGUGCGACUGUUUUGCCUUACUCUUGCUUGUAUUCAUGGUUGCCAAAUUUCAGCAUUCUAGUCAUUUAUUGCCUCUCAAGUAAAUUUUUGUUUCUUCUUUUAAAUGUAUUGGUGGGAACCAAUGUAUUUGAUAAGCGGAAUUACAGCAAAUGUCCUUUCAAGACAACGCUGAUUGUGCCAACUAAAAAAUUUCACUAGGAAGGUCAGUGCAACACACGUACAUACACUUGUUGUCCAUUUGUGAUGGGAAGAUGCACUGUAGUCGAAUUAGUGUCAAGAAUAUAAAUGUACUUGUACAACUAAUGCAGAAAAAGUUUCCAUUGUCUUGAAGAGGAUUGGCAGUGGUGAAGAAUUUCUGUAGAAGUAAAAAUAGUUGAGAAAGGUUCAUUUCCACUAUAGGAAACUUGUGAGGUAAAAAGGGCAGAAACAUUUUUAUUGGAAGCGUGUUUACCACUGUUCUGUGUAGGUGCAAGUGGGGUCAAAAGAUUUAUUCUUCUCCAAAGAUGCUGGGCUACGUUUGCAAAUCAUUUGGCCUGUGAUGUAUCAAAGGGAACCACCUGUUUUGCUUUCCAUAAUACUCAGUAAGUGACCAUGCAAUACCUUUUAUGAAAGGUGUGGAACGUGUCGGUUAUUAAAAUGCAUCUGCUCAUGAAUAUUUGCCAAAACAUUCUUUUGAAUGUGCAUUUGAAUGUGAAUGUACAUGAAGUGCCUGCCAAACCACGGCAAUGGUCUUCCCUCUUUUUCCAUCAUUAGAACUUCACUUAAGUCUGUGUGCCAUGCACAUGUAGAACAGUGCCCUCCAUCAUUACACCUCAGGCUCAUGUUAUGCAACCUUCUGUUGCACGACCCAUCUGGAAAUCCAUAGUACCAGCGCAGUAGCUAAAUUAGGUGCAAGACACAUUGAGGCACAAUUCCCAGGACAGUCGCAGAGAAGACACUUGCCCAAAAGAAGCUUAAGCAGCCACCUUAUGUCAGAUUGGCAUUCUUUUUUCUUCCUCUUUAAUUUGAAGGAUUUGCUACGGGGCAUAAUGAGAAAGGGAAAUUGAAGUUUGUGGUCUUGCAACAUGCAGGAACUGCAACAAAGUCUCUGAAAAGUUUUCUGUCACCAACAGUUUUUUGUGGUUUUGUGGUACAUCCAGCUGCUUUAAACUGAUCUUUCUUAGCCUCUUCAGCCUGCUGGCACACAUACUAGGGCACAGCCAAGCCAGGUGUUGAGCAUCUGUUGUAGCUACUGGAGCUAGGCACUUGGGCCGCAUUCCUUUGUCGGCUCCCAUGCCAGUGUGACAGAUGGCGCCCGGGUUGCCCAAGCUGUAAAGCCCCCGGCUGAAGCCUCCAGAGAGAUGUUUCCUGUGCUUUGAAAAAGACCUGUGGACUUUAGUGACUUCUUCGACAGAGCCUUUUAUCAACGGCGUGUGAAGUGCAGGUCACUGUGUGGCAAGCUGGUCGUUCUAGCCACAGGCUCUGGCUCAUAUAAUCCAUCUGGCAGCUAGGCUUCGAUGAAUGGCCACCUGGCUGCCUUUCCAAGAAGCAUCAGGACACAGGCUAACUAUGGACGGAAGAAAGCCUUCCACGACAUUUUUACGCAUCAAAUUCGGUGACGUCAGUGGGUCCACCUCAGUGUGAGGAUGUAAGAGAGAACCAUCCAUCUGCUCAGUGGGCUUGGUGGCCCACUGAGCAAUUACAGACACAUGCUCAUAAAGUGCUUUAUUGUCAUACAGGUUAGUUAUAAAAAUUUAGUAUCAUCUGUAAAAGAUAAUGAUGUUACGCUAACGAUGCUACCAGGUCGACAGUUUCUUGUUGCUGCAGUAUGUGAUUUUUAUAAAGUCUUGAAGCAUU